CCCCGCGCCCGCGGAGCCCCGGCUCCCGCCUGCCCAGCCCCCUCCCGGGGAGCGAGCCGGGACCCAGGGGUGGGAGCAGAGUCGGGGCUUUGUGGCGCCGGGGGCCGAGGAAGAAUGAAACGUGCAGUUGGGAGUGUUGCUCGCGUCCCAGGGAGCAGCGCAGGCCCGAUUGUCUGCCGCCGAGAUGGCCUUUUGUUCGGAGCAUAAGGUUUAAGAAACACACACACGUUUUCUGGGGUCUCUUGUUGGAUGUAAAUGUGCCGCAUCCAGACGCUCGCGGNNNNNNNNNNNNNNNNNNNNNNNNNCGCCCCGCCCCGCCCCGCCCCGCCCCGGCGACCGGGACCGUUGGGACGCGGACCUCACCCAGACUUCUGGGCCGCCGGCACUGCCUUCGCCCCGUUUCACUCCAGACUAGCCAAGCAUCCCACGGAGAUGAUAAAGCAAACAAUAACAUCUGAUCAUGACGUCCACGAGAUAAUGUGCCCGGCAAAGUUCUUUAGGAAUCGGGAUGAGCGGGAGGGUGAGGGAGUGAUCGUUUCCCUUCGUUUUCCUUAAACGUGACUUUAAGAGAUAAAUGGUGAAGUUUAUACCUUGGCCUGCUGGACAGCCGGUCCGCCCCAUGGCACGAAGCUCGGCAUCAAAGGGCCAAAUUAGACAUUCGACCGGGAGCCCUCGAAGCUGAGGAUGUUACCUUUGAAGAACAGAAACAAUGAAAAUACAGAGGAAUUGCAUUUGGAUACUUCUUCCUGUCAAUCAUCUUUGCCAGAUUCCUAUUUGAACAUCCUGAAAAUGAGGAAGACAUCAGAUCUCGCCUUAAGGAAGUCUGAUACCCAGGAGAUGAUCCGAGUUUCAACUCUCUGUGGUGAAAAGAGGGUGAAGAGCAGCAGAAAAUCCAAUUCUCUUGACCUUCAGGACAUGGAGCAGAACUCAUCGCUUCCACCUGGCCUACCCAAAAAUCCCCAGCCUGCCCCAUCUGCCAAGGUGGAUCCAGGAGAAGGGGAAGCAAUAUCCAGUUGUGUAUCACCUUACAGUUUUUAAGGUUAGUUUACUCAAAGAAAUCUCACUCCUGUUUAUUUUUGCACGCAUUUAUUCAACAGUUAGUUACUGAGACUUUUUCUAUCAGUGUCCUAAGCUCCUAUCCCCAUUAGCUAUCUAGCCCUGCUUUGUCCCUUCUUCCAUUUCAUACGUCCAAUCUGAGCUCUAUAAUUCUAGUUCUACGAGCUCUAGAGGAUUUUUUUCCUCAAUCCUGUAUCUUUCACUUUUUUCCCCAAGGCCUAAAAUGAGAAAAUAAGAAAUGUGAUGAGCUCAGGGAAUGAUGUAGGAAUAAAUGUAUAGGCUAGGAUAUUUAAUGAUUAUUA
rnacentral:lncRNA from 1 species